rnacentral:rRNA from 1 species
GAUGAACGCUGGCGGCGUGCCUAAUACAUGCAAGUCGAGCGAACGGACGAGAAGCUUGGUGUUCUGAUGUUAGCGGCGGAUGGGUGAGUAACACGUGGAUCACCUACCUAUAAGACUGGGAUAACUUCGGGAAACCGGAGCUAAUACCGGAUAAUAUUUUGAACCGCAUGGUUCAAAAGUUUAAGACGGUCUUGCUGUCACUUAUCGAUAGAUCCGCGCUGCAUUAGCUAGUUGUUAAGGUAACGGCUUACCAAGGCAACCAUGCAUAGCCGACCUGAGAGGGGGAUCGGCGGCCCAGGAAGUGAGACACGGCACAGACUCCUACGGCAGGCAGCAGUAGGGAAUCUUCGGCAAUGGGCGAAAGCCUGACGGAGAAACGCCCCGCGAGUGCUGCAGAUCCUCGGUUCGUAAAGCUCUCUUACAAGGGAAGAACAUCUGUGUAAGCGACUGUGCACCGAUUGACGGUACCUACUCAGAAAGCCACGGCUAACUACGUG